AUUCUCUAAGGAAAGGAGUCGGGCGCAGAUAUGAGUGGGUGCUUUGUAUUCCCAGCACGGGUCACAACCAGUUCAGCAGGUGUGAGAAGUGGUGCGGGAGAUGGCCCAUCUUGGGUGUAGAGCUUGUGGAAGGGAUUUGUCCAGAGGUUUAACCACGAGGGUUUGCACAAGUGGGAUAGUAGACUUCUCAGGAGGUGCAGUGGCAGCCUGCUCUCUGCUGCUCACCACAGUCUCCUACACACGAGUCUGUACAGAGGGCAGUGAGCAGGACCUGCAGCCCAGGCUCUCUUACACAGAGACAGUUUCUAAUAGAUUUUAUAAGCAUGCAUGCAGCAGGCAGUUGGUAAAGUGAAGGUCUGUUUGCUUCCCUCCCAGCAUUGGCUAGUGUUUGCAGGCACCUCUUGCUGUCGGGGAAACCCUGUCCUUACACCCCAAAGAGCAAAGCCCCCGUCACUUGCCUGCUGCUGUCUGCAUGUAGCCGGCCAGGGUGCAGACCUUCCUCUCACAGGCUCCACUGGGCAGCAGGAUGGCGACGAUGGCCAGCAGUGAGCUGAGGGCCAGCAGGGCACAGCCGCCCGCACACAGCACGGCGCUGGUCUGGAAGGACACACAGGGCGGUCAGCAAGGCGUCCCCUGUCACCCCCACAUCACCUCCCCAUCAAUUCCCUUUCUCCCAUCUUGGAGUAAGAAGUGAGGCUCUGUGUGGGUGCUUUCCCUGCUGCUCAGAUUCACCACUGAAUUGUGAGCCCACAGUGCAGUCACCUGGUCCCAGUGGUGCAUGUCUGUGGAUGGAACCCAAGUGCUCCUGCCCCGUGCUAGAAUCACACCUGCAGAUCAACAGCUCCUUCCUAAGGAAAUAAAGCCCUAAGCUGGAAAGAGUUCA
rnacentral:lncRNA from 1 species